CCCAGGCUCCAGGACAGUGGGUGCUACACCCUCCUGGGCCUUCUGGACCCCUCCUUCUGCCUCCACCUGCCCAACCUGUCAGAGACAGAUCAUAGCUUAUUUUCUAUUUGUUCCUCCUGGAACACAGGUAUCCCACUUCUGGGAAUAUAUCCAAAGGAGAUGCAGUCAGCACGCCAAAGGGACAUUUGUGUGCCUGUGUUUAUCCAGCACUACCCACAAUAUCUAAGAUGUUAAAUCAACCUAGGUGCUCAUCAACUGAUGAAUGGAAAAAGUGAGGAAUACAUACACUAUUCAGAUUUACCACGUACUUACAUUCAGAAUACCAAAAUGUCAGAGAGGUAAAAAAUGAUCCUGAUGUAGAGUGGAACAGCUGGAAUAUAAAUCCUAACCUGAACAUGAUUGCUGGAACAGUCUCCACUAUGAACCAGAAUGGACUUGCUGCCUUCUUGCAAAUGCAUGAAUGUAAAGGGUACAUGGUCAUGGAGGAAUUCUGUCAUUUUCCAGGAUAAGUCAAGCCUUGCUAUAUGACCUCAGGGCACCUGUAUCUCCUCCAGAGCAUGUUCUACCAUGAUAUUUAAUUUGAGUAUUAAUACUAGCUUUUUGGUCAUUGUUUUCCCUGCACUAAGCAUCUCUGUACCUCUACUUCCUAAUCCCCU
rnacentral:lncRNA from 1 species